rnacentral:rRNA from 1 species
CCUACGGGAGGCUGCAGUGAGGAAUAUUGGUCAAUGGGCGAGAGCCUGAACCAGCCAAGUCGCGUGAGGGAAGACGGUCCAACGUAUCGUAAACCUCUUUUGUCAGGGAACAAAGGCGGGGACUAGUCCCCGUAUGAGGGUACCUGGAGAAAAAGCAUCGGCUAACUCCGUGCCAGCAGCCGCGGUAAUACGGAGGAUGCGAGCGUUAUCCGGAUUUAUUGGGUUUAAAGGGUGCGCAGGCGGCCUGUUAAGUCAGCGGUAAAAUGUCGGGGCUCAACCCCGGCGAGCCGUUGAAACUGGCGGGCUGGAGUUGGAGAGAAGUACGCGGAAUGCGUGGUGUAGCGGUGAAAUGCUUAGAGAUCGCGCAGAACCCCGAUUGCGAAGGCAGCGUACCGGCGCCACACUGACGCUGAGGCACGAAAGCGUGGGUAUCGAACAGGAUUAGAUACCCGUGUAGUC